rnacentral:siRNA from 1 species
AUGGUGUGUUAGACAAACCACUGC